UGUUAUGUUGUAGUCUAUUCCACUUUUUGAAAAGAAUGAUAUGUGAAUUUUUUCCCCCCAGCACAGAAGUGGAACUUUCCAGAAAGUCUGAACAUAUUGCCCUACUUGAACUUACAGGAUAGCAGCUGCUUGGAGACCCUGUGAGGCAGCUUGGGCCUUUUGUACUCCACCUGUGUUCAGCUAUUGGCAUUAUACUGUGAUGAUCCCAGGUUUGUUUUCUCCUGACACCAAACCUCUGGCCUGGCUUCUUAUACAACAAUCUUAUACCUGGAACAUAGUGCACAGCCUGCAAGAGAAAACUCUGUGUGAGCCCAGCAUAUCUCUGAAUCAUCUGGAGAAAAUAGAGCAUUGGCCCAGGUUUACCAAGGAAUUAGAGAACUUGGCUGGAUAGCAGCUUACACAGAACAGACUUGGGGAUUUUAUGUGACUACAAACUUGCUCUGACCCAACAGCAAGACAGAAUUCCUGGAAAUGUCUGUCCAAGCCCACAUGGUCCUUAAAGAGGUUGAAAUUUCAAAUCCUGCAUGGCCAAAUUCCAGGGCACAGUCUAGGUCAUGCCAUGCUUAGAGUUCAGCGUCACAUCCUGUGGAUCAAAAUUCAAAGGGUCACUCUUGGAGUGAAAAAAUUUGGAAGAGGUGGGGAGAAUGAAGAAGGAUCUGGAAAAUUUGCCAUAUGAGGAGUGGUCAGAAGAACCAGGAAUGUUUCGUCAGAGGAAGAGAACUGUAAAUUGUCUUCAAAUAUCCCAGGAGCAUGACCUGGACAGUGGAGCCAUCUUACCUGGGUCUUGGAGGUCAGGACUAAGCCAGUGGAUAGAUGUAAUUCAAUGUGAGGAGGACACAGCAAGAAGGUGGCCAUCUGCAAGCCAGGAAGAGAGUCCUUACCAGAACGUGACCAUUCUGUCACCCUGAUCCCUAGAACUGUGAGAAAAUAAACUUCUAUAGUGUAAGCCACCCAAUUUACGGUAUUUUACUAGGGAAGCCUAAACUAAAGGUAAAGAAAUCUCAAGAUUAUAAAUAAACAUAAAAAUCCACAAAGAUUUAAGGAAGUGAAGGAAC